AGUGAACGCUGGCGGUAGGCCUAACACAUGCAAGUCGAACGGCAGCACAAGAGAGCUUGCUCUCUGGGUGGCGAGUGGCGGACGGGUGAGGAAUACAUCGGAAUCUACCUUUUCGUGGGGGAUAACGUAGGGAAACUUACGCUAAUACCGCAUACGACCUACGGGUGAAAGUGGGGGACCGCAAGGCCUCACGCGAUUAGAUGAGCCGAUGUCCGAUUAGCUAGUGGACGGGGUAAUGGCCCACCAAGGCGAAGAUCGGUAGCUGGUCUGAGAGGAUGAUCAGCCACAUUGGAACUGAGACACGGUCCAGACUCCUACGGGAGGCAGCAGUGGGGAAUAUUGGACAAUGGGCGCAAGCCUGAUCCAGCCAUACCGCGUGGGUGAAGAAGGCCUUCGGGUUGUAAAGCCCUUUUGUUGGGAAAGAAAUCCUAUCGGUUAAUAACCGGUGGGGAUGACGGUACCCAAAGAAUAAGCACCGGCUAACUUCGUGCCAGCCGCCGCAGUAA
rnacentral:rRNA from 1 species